AUUGAACGCUAGCGGGAUGCCUUACACAUGCAAGUCGAACGGCGUGGCGAACGGGUGAGUAAUGUAUCGGAAUGUGCCCAGUAGUGGGGGAUAACUCCGCGAAAGCGUAGCUAAUACCGCAUACUAUUGGAGCGGCCGAUAGCGGAUUAGCUAGUUGGUGGGGGAACGGCUAACCAAGUCGACGAUCCGUAGCUGGUCUGAGAGGACGACCAGCCACACUGGGAGUGAGACACGGCCCAGACUCCUACGGGAGGCAGCAGUGGGGAAGUUUGGACAAUGGAGGAAAGCCUGAUCAAGCCAUGCCGCGUGUGCGAUGAAGGGCUUCGGAUUGUAAAGCACUUUUGGCAGGAAAGCGGUACCUGCAGAAUAAGCACCGGCUAACUACGUGCCAGCAGCCGCGGUAAUUC
rnacentral:rRNA from 1 species